rnacentral:rRNA from 1 species
GAGUUUGAUCUUGGCUCAGAUUGAACGCUAGCGGGAUGCCUUACACAUGCAAGUCGAACGGCAGCACGGACUUCGGUCUGGUGGCGAGUGGCGAGCGGGUGAGUAAUGUAUCGGAACGUGCCUAGUAGCGGGGGGAUAACUACGCGAAAGCGUAGCUAAUACCGCAUACGCCCUACGGGGGAAAGCAGGGGAUCGCAAGACCUUGCACUAUUAGAGCGGCCGAUAUCGGAUUAGCUAGUUGGUGGGGUAACGGCUCACCAAGGCGACGAUCCGUAGCUGGUUUGAGAGGACGACCAGCCACACUGGGACUGAGACACGGCCCAGACUCCUACGGGAGGCAGCAGUGGGGAAUUUUGGACAAUGGGGGAAACCCUGAUCCAGCCAUCCCGCGUGUGCGAUGAAGGCC